rnacentral:rRNA from 1 species
AAUGAACGCUGGCGGCGUGCUUAACACAUGCAAGUCGAACGAGAAAGGGGCGUUUACGUCCCGAGUAAAGUGGCGCACGGGUGAGUAACGCGUAGGCAACCUACCUUGGAGACAGGGAUAACAGGGCGAAAGCGCUGCUAAUACCUGGUAAUAACGCAUAUGUGGAGGCAUAUGUGUGAGAGGGGGCUGAUUGAGAAGAAAGCUCCUGCUCUGGGAUGGGCCUGCGUCAUAUCAGCUGGUUGGGGAGGUAACGGCUCACCAAGGCGACGACGGGUAGCUGGUCUGAGAGGGUGAUCAACCACACGGGCAAUGGAACACGGGCCAGACUCCUACGGGAGGCAGCAGUAAGGAAUUUUGCGCAAUGGGGGCAACCCUGACGCAGCAACGCCGCGUGGGCGAUGAAGGCCUUCGGGUCGUAAAGCCCUGUCAGGUGGGAAGAAGGGCCGAGGGGUGGAAAUACUGCCUUUCGGUAUGACGGUACCACCAGAGGAAGCACCGGCUAACUCCGUGCCAGCCGCCGCAGUAAAAC